rnacentral:piRNA from 1 species
UGCUGCCAAUACUGACGCUUCUACUGCUUUU